rnacentral:lncRNA from 1 species
UUUUUUCUAAAUGCCUUCAGAUAUUGGGCUGAUUUUUGGUAUGUGAGUUAACCAUGAUGAGUUACAGGUCAAGUUUAAGUUUAGUUCUGCUCCGCUAAUUUUUGCUGAAAUUACGGGCUUUGGACUUUGAUAAAUUAUUGAAAAUCACAGUUAUACAGAUUUUUUUUCUAUACGCCUCCAGAUUUUGAGCUGAUGUUUGAUAU